UACGUAGGGUGCGAGCGUUGUCCGGAAUUAUUGGGCGUAAAGAGCUCGUAGGCGGCUUGUCGCGUCGGAUGUGAAAGCCCGGGGCUUAACUCCGGGUCUGCAUUCGAUACGGGCAGGCUAGAGUUCGGUAGGGGAGAUCGGAAUUCCUGGUGUAGCGGUGAAAUGCGCAGAUAUCAGGAGGAACACCGGUGGCGAAGGCGGAUCUCUGGGCCGAUACUGACGCCGAGGAGCGAAAGCGUGGGGAGCAAACAGG
rnacentral:rRNA from 1 species